AAAAAAUUAAAUCCGAAACAAAUAGCAAGAACAAACCGAACCGGUGGAUUCUUUUCGCGUCCUUCAGAAUUGGUUCUUGUUCGGUUGGAGGAAAAAAGAAGGAUCUUUCAAUCUCUUCUUCUUCCAGCCUCCGACUGAAUUCCCGCAGAUAACAGAGUCAUGUCGGAGGUGUGGAAUCAUUUGACGUCGAUCUGAAGGAGCAGAAGGUAACGGUGAAGGGCAACCAACGUUCAGCCAGACGCCGUUCUUGAGACGGUGCCAAAGACUUUCUGGGAAUCCGAGGUCGAAGCAAAGGCCUAAAAGAGAGAGCAAGAGAGCAAGAGACGGUGUCUCUGGGCCCCCCUUUUGUCUGAAAGAGAGAAAAACAGGAACUUUGGGUCUGAAAAAUUCAGUGCAAGGAACAUUGUACCGAUCCCUUUGGUCGUGUCUGCAACUUGAUAUCUUGCAAUUCCGAUUCCCAAUAUUGUGAAGCUGUUCACCAAAUAUGCGUUACAUAUUUGGUGAACAUGUGUUAAGCAGUUCUUUUGUCACCCCUCUUAUUAUUUUAAUGAGCUCUUGGAUAUGUGAAAGUUUAUA